UCCUUGGCUCAGCGGUAAAGCAUCUGCCUGCAGUGCAGGAGAGCUGGGUUCGAUCCCUGGGUCAGGAA
rnacentral:tRNA from 1 species